GUUUUACUACUGAGAAACGAAGAGACAUAUAGAUGCAAAUAUACGCUACCUCGCGUGAAAAAAACAUCAGAUACAUUAACCAGAAGGAAUAUCCGAUACAUAUAAAAUUCAUAGCGUAGUUAUUUAUACAUACGGAAUAAUUCUUUCUGUAUGAAAUAUUCUUUCUUCUGAAUUCUUAUUAUAAAUGUAUGUCCAUUUCCUACCUUAAAAUGUCUCUCCUUUGAAAAACUCCAUUUAAAUAUAACGAUUAACAAAAUAUUACCAAUAAAAAUAUUAAAACGAGAUGCUGAAAUAACCUUUUAAUGAAGCACAAAUGAUUAUUUCAACUUUAAUUCUGUUAAAUUUGAAUUGAAUCAUUUAUAAACCGAACAGGUGUAUAAAAUUUUAUUGCGUAAAAAUCGUGAAGCUGAAAAUUAGGAACGAAUAACGAAUGAGUAACCUAGUUUCAUUAAAAGCUAAAUUCCACAAAAACAAGAAAUAUACUUCCAACGUGUUUUCACAUGUCUCUAGCAAAGAUCUCAAAAACAAGUUGCGGCGCAAUUUAAAACGACAAAUAGCACCGUGUGUCUCGUUGUGGCAACGCACGGUUCGUCAGCUUUUUAAAAGCGCUCUCUGUCUGCUUUUUUCUCUCUUCACCGCCUA